rnacentral:lncRNA from 1 species
CUCUUGGAGAGGCCCUGCAGCCAAAGCAGAGCCUAACGAAGAUAAUAACACGGAGAAAAAGAAAGAAAAAAAAAUACGAGAAAGAAAGAAAAAGUAGACAGUGCUGAAAUCAGAGGUGACCUCUCCUUUUGCCGACUCCUGCACUUCCCAGCCCCUCACCAAACCAGUGCUGCUCCAGACCCACGGUGCCUGGGGACAGCAGCUGCCUCCCCCCGAGCUCCGGCCUGGCACGUCGGGGCGGCAGCACCCCGUGCCAAAACAGGUUCUGGCUGAUGGCUUCCAGCGUGCUCAUUAACUUGGUGUUCUGGUUGGCUUCCUUAAUUGUGUUUUGUUUUUCUCCAUGCAUGCCAGGCUGGUCCUGCCCUUGUUCUUGGAGCUCCAAACCUGGGGGUCUCCGGCAGAGGUUGGGGAUGGAUGGGGCAUCCUCUGUGCUAUGGGGAUGCUGUGGGUGCUGCAGUGAUGCAACAAUGCCAUGGUGAUGCUGUGGCAAUGCUGUGGUGAAGCUGCAGGUGCUUUGGCAGUGCUGCAGCAAUGCUGUGAGUGUUGGGGUGAUACUGUGGCAACACUGUGGCGAUGCCUUGGCCAGGGGAGCUGAGAACACCAGUUCAUGGCCACUCCUGGUGCCUCACUGAGUGCUGCAGGAUAAUCCAUAUCAGCAAACCGACCCCAAAAACCAGCUCACCUGCCAGCGCCGAGGCCAGCUCCGGGCAAGCCAGAAGCACAAAAAUUGCUGUGAAUCGAUUUUUGGACGUCAAGUUUAGAUGGGUCAUAUUUGGCUAGCUUUUAAUGCCUGGUGUCUGCAGCGUGCCCUUCCAUCAUCCCAUUACACGGAUGACAAGCGGGCCAGCACUACGGAGAAGAAACAAAUUACCUAAUAAAUCAAGCACCUAGGAUAUAAAGCGUGGAGUG